rnacentral:lncRNA from 1 species
GUAUGAUUAAACUAUGUCUUACUCAAUCAACUCACUCAACUACAUGAUAUUUGAAUGUAGUUACGAAUCAUGAGCCUUCUGCACAUUUAUAAAAAGUAAAUCUUGUCUUAACUACAAAAUGUAGCAAAAGAAGAAAUAAUAUGCAACUAAUACAAACGAUGAUAUAGAUUAGUACUGGUUGUUCUGGCAUGCCUGUUGAAAAGAAUAAAAACAUGAAUUAAAUGCAUGGUUUACUUAAUACAAUUGUAUGUUUAAAUUAUACAAUUCUUUUUACACAUUAUUUCAAUCAAUUAAAAUCCCCAUAAUAACAAGGUUAUAAAACCAGAAACUAGUGAAACGAUAAAAACGUUUCCAGAAAAUGCCUAAGCAUGCAUAUGUCUGUAUCCACCCAACAGGGAGAAUAUCAUAUUUCUACCCAUUGAAAUGCAUACUAGUCUCGGCUUUCUUAAUUUUGCCUUUAAUUGGGUAGGCAUUUAUUUACCCUUCGUUUCUGUUAUUCGAAAUAUUUGGAUGCCACUUUUUUUUUUAAAUAAAAUAGUUGCCAAUUUUCUAACAAGUAAUAAUCAACGCGCUUUUGGCAUGUUUAGAACCCUUGCAAUAUUGUUUUAGUGAUCCUUAGGUGGUCUGUAUAGCAAGGUUAAGUCCUUUCCAUAUCCAAUAUACUCUACCUUUUUUAACUGGAAUUAGUAUUUUUCGCCAUUCAUUCAUUUUGAUUCGCUAUUGGGGGAGUCAACUUAAUUGUUGAUAAUAUUUGAACAAAGAAUAUUGGGUAUCCAUGCAUGACACAAAAUCAGUACAUGCACAGAAAAAAACCCACAUAAAAGCAAAAGAGCAGCUCUUGACUGAGAACAAAGUCCGCGGUCGAUGUGCUUUCUAUAUAUAGCUAGGUCAUUAUAACAUCGUAUUGAUCUCAACCAAAGGCCAUAAUUGUUAUAUAAUUUAUC